GAUGAACGCUGGCGGCGUGCCUAAUACAUGCAAGUCGAGCGAACGGACGAGAAGCUUGCUUCUCUGAUGUUAGCGGCGGACGGGUGAGUAACACGUGGAUAACCUACCUAUAAGACUGGGAUAACUUCGGGAAACCGUAGCUAAUACCGGAUAAUAUUUUGAACCGCAUGGUUCAAAAGUGAAAGACGGUCUUGCUGUCACUUAUAGAUGGAUCCGCGCUGCAUUAGCUAGUUGGUAAGGUAACGGCUUACCAAGGCAACGAUGCAUAGCCGACCUGAGAGGGUGAUCGGCCACACUGGAACUGAGACACGGUCCAGACUCCUACGGGAGGCAGCAGUAGGGAAUCUUCCGCAAUGGGCGAAAGCCUGACGGAGCAACGCCGCGUGAGUGAUGAAGGUCUUCGGAUCGUAAAACUCUGUUAUUAGGGAAGAACAAAUGUGUAAGUAACUAUGCACAUCUUGACGGUACCUAAUCAGAAAGCCACGGCUAACUACGUG
rnacentral:rRNA from 1 species